rnacentral:lncRNA from 1 species
GGUGGGUGGGCUGGAAAAAGAUGGAUUCCAAAGCCUGGGGUGGGAGCGGGGGUGGAGUGGGGGUGGGGUAGGGGAGAGGCACCGCCCCCAGAGGCUGAGGCGAGAAAGGAUUGGAUGAUUCCGAAUCCGCUCGGGCCAAUGCCGGGCGGUCUGUGAAGGGGCGGGCCUCUUACCUGUGCCUUUGAAAUUGGACUUGAGCUCUUUGAAGCCCAGUCUUCCCUCCGCUCUUGGCUUGCUUCACCUGCGUCCCGAGGCCACCAUGAGUAACCAGCUUGUUCGAGAAGACUAUAACCAGUCCCGUCCUCGGAGACCGAGACCCAAGCCCCAAGAAAAGGGCCCUCUGCGGUUCUUAGUCGAGGCUCGGCUCGUGGGGGCCCUCAUAGGGAUGAAAGGAUCGAGGAUUCGAGCAAUGGAGACCCUUUCCGGCGCUCAGAUUAAAAUAGAUCUGUUCAACCAAGAGGAAGAUGGUGAAAAGCCCGAAAAAGCAGAGGUGCAAGUUUUCGGAAGCAACCACUGUAGAAUUAGAGCAAAAGAACUGGUUGAAUGUAUCAUCAGAUGGUAUCCACCCGCCUCCCCUGACGAUGAAGCACAGAAGGCUGUUGCCCAGAUGUCCAUUCAGGAAAAUAAGUAAUAUGCAGCCCAGCUGGUUUUUGUUAAUUUUAUACAAAUAAAUUAUGUUUGUUUUUUUCUAUUCUUUUUUUU